rnacentral:rRNA from 1 species
AGUGGCGGACGGGUGAGUAACGCGUGAGAAUCUAGCUUCAGGUCUGGGACAACCACUGGAAACGGUGGCUAAUACCGGAUGUGCCGAGAGGUGAAAGAUUAAUUGCCUGAAGAUGAGCUCGCGUCUGAUUAGCUAGUAGGUGGGGUAAGAGCCUACCUAGGCGACGAUCAGUAGCUGGUCUGAGAGGAUGAUCAGCCACACUGGGACUGAGACACGGCCCAGACUCCUACGGGAGGCAGCAGUGGGGAAUUUUCCGCAAUGGGCGAAAGCCUGACGGAGCAAUACCGCGUGAGGGAGGAAGGCUCUUGGGUCGUAAACCUCUUUUCUCAGGGAAGAACACAAUGACGGUACCUGAGGAAUCAGCAUCGGCUAACUCCGUGCCAGCAGCCGCGGUAAUACGGAGGAUGCAAGCGUUAUCCGGAAUGAUUGGGCGUAAAGCGUCCGCAGGUGGCGAUGUAAGUCUGCUGUUAAAGAGUGAGGCUCAACCUCAUAAGAGCAGU